UUCUUCCCUGAGGAGAUUAAUCAGUUACGGCAGUCCCAGUCCUACUGCACAGACACAGAGUGUCUUCAGGAAUGGACAAGAUCCACCAGCUCCUCCUGUGGACUAACUUUGUGAUAUGGGAUGUGAAAAUAGUUAACACCUUGCACGACCAAACGAACGAAGAUGACCAGAGUACUCUUAACCCCAUUAGAACUGUUUUUCCUUUUGUAUCUGCAAUAUGGGAUGGUAUUGUUUUCAUGAGCUUCUAGAAAUUUCACUUGCAAGUUUAUUUUUGCUUCCUGUGUUACUGCCAUUCCUAUUUACAGUAUAUUUGAGUGAGUGAUUAUAUUUUUAAAAAGUUACAUGGGGCUUUUUUGGUUGUCCUAAACUUACAAACAUUCCACUCAUUCUGUUUGUAACUGUGAUUAUAAUUUUUGUGAUAAUUUCUGGCCUGAUUGAAGGAAAUUUGAGAGGUCUGCAUUUAUAUAUUUUAAAUAGAUUUGAUAGGUUUUUAAAUUGCUUUUUUUCAUAAGGUAUUUAUAAAGUUAUUUGGGGUUGUCUGGGAUUGUGUGAAAGAAAAUGAGAACCACGCUGUAUUUACAUUUACCUUGGUAGUUUAUUUGUGGAUGGCAGUUUUCUGUAG
rnacentral:sRNA from 1 species